CUCAUUAUCGUGACAUAAAAACUAAAUACGUCUUCAUAUAAAGAUUAAACAAAGAAUAUGUAAGGCUCUUCAGUGGUGACGGCAAAUGAGUUGAAAAUGGGUCAAACAAAACCGAAACAUAACCCAACUCGCUCAUAUUUCAUACACUGGGUAUGAUCACUUUGUUUUUCAGGUUGACCAUUAGAGUUCUGAGAACCCAGCAAGUUAAAUCAUCACAAAGAGGCAGAGGCUAAGCCAGAACAUCUGGGUUGGACCUGCAGCCGAAGACAAACAAAGAAGCUCACCAUUUAGUCAUUAAUAAGCUUCAAACAUACUCCAGUAGUUUUGAAAACAUUAUGUGUGAGUGUGUGAAAACCUUAAAAACAGCACAUCAAUAAUGCACUACUUUGAACAAGUUUGACAUAUGAACCGAAAACAUCACAACUCACAAGUGCAAUAAAUAAUGUUUCCACUAGAUUAAGCUGAUUGAAUCAAGAUUGAUUUUCACAAGAGAUGGGAACAUUGAAAAACAACCAACAUAAGAUUAGAGCAACACACUGAGACAUCAUUGACUGUUACAACUUAUACAUCCAUGUAGACACUGCUAACUGAAUAAAGACCACUUUUUUUAAUGAUUCCACAACAUCUUGUCUGUGGAAAUUGUAUCCAUACUCAUUCCACCUAUCUUCCCUAGUAACUCUACAACCAUUUCCACAUCCCAAUCAUUUACAAGUCUUCUAAAGGAUAAAUCCCAUCCCUGUUCUGGCCCAACAGUCCCCUACAUUAGCAUCAAGACUCACACAAAUUUGGAAAAGAUUCCUAAGAGGGAAUUGUUCUAUCCAGAAAUCCUUCCAGAAUCUUGUUUUACUGUCAUUUCCACUUUGAUAUAUAAGUCUGCCUUCAUUUGAGGCCACAAACUUCUGAUUGUUCUCCAUAGUCCCACACCCCGUAAGGUUCAACUGUGUUAUCUGUACACCAUUGGGUUAGCUCACCAAACACUCAGCUUUAAUCACCUCUUUCAAGAAAGCAUUUCUCUCCUCAAUGUACCUCCACAUCGACUUCUUCAGAAGACUUACAUUUUGCAAUCUCAAAUUUCUAAUCCCCCCCCCCCCCCCCAGUCUUUGUUAAGAAGUACAGUCUUCCAGUUUACCACCGGAGAGGAGUUCAGAUGCCCUGAAGGGACCUCCAAAGGUUUAUCUUGGAGUCCAUGUCUGGGAGCGACAAGGAUUUGUAAGAUAUUAUUUAGGCCGUGUCCUGAAUCAAAUUCUCUAUUAAGCGUAAGGGUUAUAAGAAAGUGGAAAAUGAAUAUAUUUAACCAUACAAUUUUUUAGAACAGUUCACCCCCCACUCCCACACACACAAAAAAAAGAUCUAUUGUAUUAGUACCUUAUUGUUUUAUGUGCACUAACGUUCACCUUCUUUUUGGAGAAGCAGACAAAGAUCCUCACUUGAAUCCUGUCAGUGUCCCAAGAAGAAAGAGAUCAAAGCUUAGACAAUGCAUUUUGUCACCUGCUCAAAUCCAGAGGACACUUGAUAACAAUCUCCAGGCACCAGACUUUGAAAUAAUAUCUGACGGAGAUGAACCUGUUACUCUAAUUUAUGCAAGGAACAAAUACAUUCCUCCUAAUGAGGUUGGUCUUGGAGCUAUGCUGCUAGUAUCACCAACUACUACUACAGAACGCUUGACGCCUCUAUCAGCAAUGGCAGUUCCUCCUAAUGAGAUUGGUCACGAACCUAUGCUGCUAGUAUCACCAACUACUACUAUAGAACGCUCGACACCUCAAUUAGCAAUGGAAGAAGAUACUGUUUCUUGCUCAAUGGAUGUUUCUAAAUAAAAUUCAUCUAUAAGUGAAUUUUUAGAUGCAUGCAUAACAUUCAAGUUGGUAUGUGAAGCCAGCUCUUAUUGUCUAGCUAGUGCAAUGUUGGCUAAAUACAAUUUGCGCUGUUCCAACUUUACAGAUUUCCCCGACAGUCUGGGUGUUUUGAGACCAUCUAGUUUAUCUUGUUCUGGAUAUUUAUAGUUUCUUCCAUUUUAAUGGAUUGAAUUUUUAGACACGUCAAUUCUGCUUUUUGGAUGCAUUUAAUAUGUCAAUUCCGAAGUCUAUCAUGCGUGCUUACCUACAAGUUUGUCAGUUUGCGUGGACUCCACAGUAGACUAAAAUUGUAACAUCACAACGGCAAUUUGACUUACAUAUGCUUGACAUGUUGUAAUGUCUUGCAUUGUACUUGUUUCAGGAGAAAGAACAAUGUACUAGAUCAUGUGGCUAUGCAAAAUGAAACUACUGGAAAUGAGGAUGGAAAAGCAAAUGCAUGUGAUAAUAGACUCGCACCAGAUCAUAUGAAUACUACAUCAAGGGUAUGUCGGAUAAAUUGUUCUAAAAAAUGUUGUUGCUAUUGAAUUUUCAUCUGUAUAUGGAGAUGAACAUCUUAUUAUUGAAGAAAUAGGUAUAUCAGCCUCAGGAUAAGGUAUGCUCAACCAAAAAAAGUUUAAAAAUAAGUCUACCAAAAAGUCUCUUCGAUCUCCUUCUAAGUUAUUAGGACAAGUCGAUAAGACACUACACCUUCCAAUAAUAGCUGUUACAGAAUGACAAAAGUCCCACAUCGGUGGUUUAUGAGAUGGGUGGACUCCUUAUAAGAUUUGAUCAAUCCUCUUCUCUUUGAGCUAGCGUUUGGGUGUGAGUUAGGUCUAAGACCUAAUUUAACAUGGUAUCAGAGCAGGGCUCAUCUCACCCAAUGUUGGGGCCCCCAAAAUCAAAAUUGCCCACGCACCAGAUGCUAAGCACUCGGCGUGAGUGGGGUGUUAAUGAAUGCAAAGUCCCACAUCGGUGGUUUAUGAGAGUGGAUGAACUCCUUAUAAGGCUUGGCAAUCCUCCUCCCUUUGAGCUAGCUUUUGGGUGUGAGUUAGGCCUAAAACCUAAUUUAAAAAUAGCUACACUAAAAGAGAUGCUAGAGAGCCAUUAUUAAAUAAUCCGAGAGCAAUUAUCAUAAAGAUAAAUGAAGCAUGAUGAGCUUAAAUGAAGCAAGAUAAUAAAGAUUCAUAGAGUUGCCCCAACUAGCUUGAAGUGAGGCAUGAUAGUGGUUGUGAAUUGGAAGUCAGUAAGAAUAAAAUAAAGAAAAAUCCAUCUGCUUAGAUACACGAAAUUCUGUCAAUGGCGGCAGAUGAAUACACAAGCAUAGUAAGAUAGAAAAAAUAAGUGCCGCUGCUGCAUCUCAGAAGCAGAGACUGGCCUGGAAAAGGAAUCAUCCAUAACUGAGUCCAUUUAACAAUAAAACGGUUGCCAAGACCGUAAUAGAUUAUCUGCAUUUCAAGAACAAGGAAAUAUUGUUCAGAUGAGUCAAUAUCAUCUUACCAAAAUAUUGCGAGUCGAGUCUUCAGGACUAACAGUUGAGACAAGGACCUCUAAAAUUGAAGAUAAAAGUGCCAAGAAAAAGCAUGAGAACAUUCAUGAUUUGGAAGCUCACUAAGGUGUGUUCAAACAGUCAAUUGGGAAGUUUUUGGCGACUAAUUUUCUUUUCACUUGGUUAUUUGGCAACUAUCUUAUUUCCUCACUCUUAGAUAUUUCAAUUAUCAUAUUGAAAAUAUUUAAUGCUCCCUUAUCUUAAGAUUUGUUGCUUAACAAGCCUUGACCACUUAACUAAAGGCCUAAAAUUAUGAAGGUUCACCAAAUCCAGCAUUCUCCCCCAAAUCCCCACCCCCAUUUUUUAAUAGAGAAUCUAAGACUUCUCUCAUUGGAGUUCUAUUGCCAAUAAUUGAGAAUUUACAGUAAUCAAAGUUGAUGAGCUGUCACAAAAGGGAAAACAGAUCCCCCAAGGCCUAGCUCGAGUGGCAAAAGGUGGAGGAUUUGUGGCUUAGGUCGCAGGUUGAAGCCCCAUACCAUGCAAAGCGAAGCCCGGUAUUUAAGUGGAGAAGGGUAGAGGGGCGGGCCCAUUAUCCACCGAGUUUAGAAGGCUAUGAUUGGUCCAAAGGGCGGAUCACAGACGGAUUUCUCGGUUAUCAAAAAAAAAAAAAAAAAAGGGAAAACAGAAUCAAUCAAAGUUAAUGACCCUCUAUCAUGAUUAAUCUAUUUCCAUAAAUAAAUGACCAGCUGUAGUCUAUCUGUCUAUAUAUUUUAUCCGUCGCCUCAGACAGACAUUUUGAGAUUUUGAAAGCAAAUCCAACUCUAACGUUAGCAGCAGUACAUUCAACCUGAUUUGAACUGGAAUCAUUCAGAACCAGAUUUUAUGGGUAAACAAGGGCCAUGUUGCCAUUGUGGCAUCGAGCGUAAGUACUAUUAAACACCUAUAUUCCACCUUUUAUGUUUAUCAAUAAUCUCGUGCUUUACAGGAUAAUUGAUUCAGUGAAGCUUAGAAUUAAUGUGCCUGAUGAUAAGUAAAUAAACAGUGAAGACUCACAUGCCUGAAACAGUAAAUAACCAAAUUUCCCUAAAUUGCCAAUCUGUUAAACAUAAAGCAUAGCGUACUUGAAUUUUCUCACCUCUCGAGCCAAAUGCUAAUUGAUUUUCAAAACAGCUCCCCUUAGUCUAAUAGGAACUAAGGUCAUCUUGGAUAAAUUGUAGAUUUGGUCCCCAAUCGCUGGCAUAGAUGCACAUUUUAGACCCUGCUGUAUUCCGCUUCAAAUUUGGCACCAAUGACCCUGCUCCACAACAACUGUCUUAGAGCUUUGCUUUAAAAUUCCAGAUUUUUUAUCCCAAGCCCCCAUUCUUCUUAGCAGACAUCACAGAUUUCUAUUUUACCAGGUGGUACCCUUUCUUUUCUUUGUUUCCCUGCCACAAAAACUCUCUCCUAAUGUUGUCCAACCUUUUGAUAACCCCUGGUGGGAUGGGAAAUAAAGGCAUCAUAUAAGUUGGUAAAGCAUCAAGGACUGAAUUAAUGAGAGUCGGUCUUCCUCUAAGGAGAGGUAUUGAGUUUUCCACCUGGCAAGCUUUUUUUCACACUUCUUUAUCACUCUAUCCCAUAUUUGUAUAGAUUUAGAUUUAGCCCCAGAGGUAGCCCCAAGUAAAUUGUUGGCAGACUGCCAAAUUCUCCAUCAUGUAUAGCAGCUAGCAAGUUCAUGUUGGUGACUUCAUUUAUACAAUACAUUAGGCUCUUCCUCUAAAAUCUAUGUUGCUUGGAAUCUCUGAAAUUGUUGCCGCACCCGUGUCGAAUUCUCCAAAAUGCACUACUUUUGGAGUAUCCGACAUGGUACCUCUUGACAUUUUUGAAAAAUCUGAGCAACAUAGACUAUAAUACCUAUUCCAUUUCUAAUCCUCAAACUUCCUGAGUACCUUAACUUGAGCCCGCCUAUAUCCCUAGUCUUAGUUCCUACCCAUUAGGUUUCCUAAACACAAGGUAUAUUGAUCCUCCUUCUCUUUCUUAUAAUCACCAACUCUAUUGACUUCCUCGCCAAUAUCCCUAUGUUCCAAGACAGAACUCACAACCUAGGAGUUCCCUUGGUACCCUUACCACCCCUGUCCUCACCCCAAAUCAUUGACAUGACUUUUAACUACCACCUAUUGAAGCCACUAAUGCAAGUUAUAGAAUAAUCAAGUGGGGCAACUCACACAAUACAAUGAAGAAAAUAAAAAAAGCAACAGCAAAGAUACCAAUUCAAAGUAGGAACCAAGAAAAUGUAGUAAUAUUCAUAAACAAUCAUAUCAGAUUUAAGGAAAUAAGUUAACAAUCAAGCAACAAUAAGGAUCUGAACAAUAUCUCAAGGAAAAAUCAGGUCUAGAUAAGACAGGAAAAUAUAUAAAAGGUGUGGUGGAUCAAACCUAGGCGUUGAUGGGGAUAAAAAAUACUAUGGACGGAUUUUCCGAAAUCCAGCGAGCUCUGAUAUACUCCUUUGGUCUGUCGGUCAUCAGUCAUCAGGAUGGGGUCGCUGGAUUCUUGCUGGUGUUGAGCUCUAGAGAAAAAGAUAGUCCCUGUUGAAUAUUAUACAGUUAACCACUGUCAGAUUAGUUGAUAGCGCUCCUCCUUAAAAUAUCAUGCAAAGAAAUGCAGUCUGCCAAGAGGUUAACUAUUUUGCAUGGUUCAUUAACACAACAAGCAAAUCCUUUUCAAUCUUUCCACCAUCAAUAUCGUUCAACUAUGCUGUAUGGUGCCAUAAAAUGGUGAUGAAAAUGUGUGUAUAAAAGCAGUUGACACAUCCUAAAAGUCUAUAUAUGUUUCACAGAAAGAUAUUUCCUCCUGUUUUGCUAAAGAUAUUCCCCGCUAUACGUACUCUAGUUUCGUGACGCUUUUGUUCUCGUGCAGUACAUUCUAAACCUUUUACAGAAAAUCUUAAUUGUCAAUGAUCAUUGUGCUUUAGUUUCUGAGAUAAGUUACCUGUAAGAUUUUAUUCAUAUUUUGUCCCAUUUAAAUGCUAAUUAAUUGUGAACUCAAACAGAAACCCCCCUAUGGAGACCUGGACCAACUGCAAAACCAGUGCUCUGCAAUGCAUGUGGAUUAAGAUGGCAAACUAAAGAGACACUAGAUGACUAUCUUCCCAAACAUGCAAGCACAGAGUUACCUUCUGAGAUGAAGCUGGAAGUUGGCGAAGAGGUUUCUGGACAGGAUGGCUCUUCAGCUUGUCUUGAGGAGGAAAUGAUUAACAUAUCAAGCUUAGGUUCAGCAGGAUCAUCCCCAGACAAAUGCAUGCAAAUGGAAGAAACAAAUGGUAAAAAAAUUUCACUUAUAUAUACAUGAUGGACUUAACCUCCAUCAUCUCUUUUGACGCUUGCUGCCUCCUCUCCUAACCCAGCUCUCUAACAACUCUAAAGUAUGUUCUGGCAUUGUCACUGUAGUCAAAGGCGCGCUUACACCUGGAAGCGUAUUGUGCGCUUCCCCUCGCUUUAUGUGUGCUUUAGUGUCGUCAUCAAGGUUCUAAGGCAAACUUUUCCUUGCCAAUGAACCUCUUCUAAAGAACUAACACUAAGCAAUUGAUAUUUUACUUGAUCAUAAUUUUUUUUCAAUUUCUUUGGUCAUAUAUUUGUCAUUCAUGUUUAUAAUUAUUAGACUUGGACUAAACAUAUAUAUUUGUAUUUUUUUUCUCCCUUUGCGCCUUUUUUCAUUAAAGCCCAUGUUUUAUUUGCACUUAAAGCCCCAACAGACCUUAGAGCUUUUUUGCGCUUUUCGCCUUUGAUAACAAUGGGCAUUGUCCAGUUCAGACUAGAGAUGCUGAGAAACAAAUUCCAGAUUUGCUUAGUAAAUUACAAUGCAAGAAUAGGUGGCUGUCAGUUUCUCUUGUCAAAUUGCAUAAAAAGCACCUAGGGACCAGCUGUCUGCCCUUCUUCUGUAGUACUUCCUGUGUUAAACAUGCCCUCUUUAUCAGUAGCCAAGUGACACAUUUCACUUUUGUAGGAAUGUCCCCACUCCAGAAAUAGUUCCAGAGAUGUUUUGGAUCCCCAGCCAUCAGCUGGAGACCUCUUCUGUAGACACUACUAACUGAAUAAAGACCACAUUUUUUAAUGCUUCCAUACUCAUUCCACCUAUCUUCCCUAGUAACUCUACAACCCUUUCCACCUCCCAAUCAGUUACAAGUCUUCUGAAGGAUAAAUCCCAUCCCUGUUCUGACCCAACAGGCAACUACAUUAGCAUCAGGAUUCACACAAAUUUGGAAGAGAUUCCUAAGAGGGAAUUGUUCUAUCCAGAAAUCCUUCCAGAAUCUUGUUUAAUUGUCAUUUCCCACUUUGAUAUAAAAGUCUGCCUUCAUUUGAGGCCACAAACUUGUGAUUGUUCUCCCUACUCCCACACCCCGUAAGGUUCAACUGUGUUCUCUGUACACCAUGGGGUUAGCUCACCAUACUCAUCUUUAAUCACCUCUUUCCCGAAAGCAUUUCCCUCCUCAAUGUACCUCCACAACGACUUCUUCAGAAGACUUUCAUUUUGCAAUCUCAAAUUUCAAAUCCCCCCCCCCCCAUCCUCCUCUGUCUUUGUUAAGGAGUACAGUCUUCCAGUUUACCACCGGAGAGGAGUUUAGAUGCCCUGAAGGGACCUCUAAAGGUUUAUCUUGGAGUCCAUAUCUGGGAGCGACAAGGAAUUGUUAGAUAGUAUCUAGGUCGUGUCCUGAAUCAAAUUCUUUCUUAAGUGUAUGGGUUAUAAGAAAGUGGAAAACUAAUAUAUUUAACUAUACAAAUUUUUGUAACAGCUUACCCCCCACUCCCACACACGAAAAAAGAAGAUAAUAUCAAUUGUAUUAGUACCUUAUUUGUUUUAUUUGCACUAAUGUUCACCAUCUUUUUGGAGAAGUAGACAAAGAUCCUCACUUGAAUCCUGACAGUGUCCCAAGAAGAAAGAUAUUAAAGCUUAGACAUAGCAUUUUGUCACCUGCUCAAAUCCAGAGGACACUUGAUAACAAUCUCCAGGCACCAGACUUUGAAAUAAUAUCUGACGGAGAUGAACCUGUUACUCUAAUUUAUGCAAGGAACAAAUACAUUCCUCCUAAUGAGAUUGGUCUUGGAGCUAUGCUGCUAGUAUCACCAACUACUACUAUAGAACGCUCGACGCCUCAAUCAGCAAUGGCAGAAGAUACUGUCUCUUGCUCAAUGGAUGUUUCUAAAUAAAAUUCAUCUAUAAGUGAAUUUUUAGAUGCAUGCUUAACAUUUAAGCUGGUAUGUGAAGCCAGCUCUUAUUGUCUAGAUAGUGCAAUGUUGGCUAAAAACAAUUUGGGCUUUCCAACUUUACAGAUUUCCCCAACAGACACGCGCAACAGUCUGGGUGUUUUGAGACCAUCUAGUUUAUCUUGUUCUGGAUAUUUGUAGUUUCUUCCGUUUUAUUGGAUGGAAUUUUUAGACAUGUCAAUUCCGAAGUCUAUAACGCGUGCUUACCAACAAGUUUGUCAGUUUGUCUGGACUACACGGUAGACUAAAAUUGUAACAUCACAAAGGCCAUUUGACAUACAUAUGCUUGGCAUUACAACUGUAAUGUCUUGCAUUGUACUUGUUUCAGGAGAAACAACAAUGUUCUAGAAUAUGUGGCUAUGCAAAAUGAAACUACUGGAAAUAAGGAUGGAAAUGAAAAUGCAUGUGACAAUGGACUCGCUCCACAUCACAUGGAUACUACAGAAAGGGUAUGUCAAUAAAUUGUUCUAAAAAAUGCUGCUGCUAUUGAAUUUUCUUCUGUUUAUGGAGAUGAACAUCUUAUUAUUGAAGACAUAGGCAUAUCAGCCUCAGCAUAAGGUAUGCUCAACCACAAAAAGUUUAAAAAUAAGUCUACUAAAAAGUCUCUUCGAUCUCCUUUUAAGUUGCUAGGACAAGUCGAUAAGACACUACACCUUCCAAUAAUAGCUACACUAAAGAGAAGCUAGAGAGCCAUUAUUAAAUAAUCCAAGAGCAAUGGAGACCGAGAAUAAUUUAGUACUGAGUUUCAUUUAUGCCCUCAAGUGGCAACAUAGCACUCUUCAAAAUAUAUUUAUACUUUAUAUUACUAAGUAGACUUUGAAGUAAUAAGUAGACAUCGUAAAAGUUAAACGACAACACUCCUUUUGUGACAUUCCUGAUUCUACCACUUAUAUUGCUACUCUAGCAACAAAUAUUGCAGAAACCAAAGCAAUGGAUUAACUAUUCACAACCAUAAAACUUUCUUAGAAGGCCACGAAGUACUAAAACAAAAGAAAGGGGUGAAGAGAGUGAAAUGUAUUACUCCUUAGAGACUGAAAAUGGGACGUGGGAAAAAAUGUGAAAUGUCAAAAUCUGUCAUUCUGUUGAUCAGUGGCAGAGCAAUGUAAGUAAUGAUAGCUGAAAAAGGAAACAGAUAAGCAUAUCUUAGGCUCCGGAGCAUCAUACAACUGAAAAAGGCUACUUAUGGGUUGUACUUUCGUAUUCUUAGUUUUGUUUGAAACAUAGGAUGCUUAAUAUACAAUUUUAUGCUAAAAAAGAAAUUUAAAAAUGGUGGAGCAAAGAUUUUCUACAAUAUACUCAAAUACAAGAAUGAAUCUUGAUGGAAGGAACAUAACAUGAUAGCUUAACACAAAACUUGCAACUGUGGAUUUCAAAGUCAAAAAAUACACCUUGUUGUCUUUUGGUUUAACUUUCCUUCUUUAUCGGCAAGCUUAUUGAUGUAUUUUUACUUUAGGGUAUAUUCUUGUGACGUUACAACUACAUCCCGAGCAGACGAUAUAGGAUGCUUAUGGGUUGUACCUUCGUAUUCUUAAUUUUGUUUGAAACAUAGGAUGCUUAACCUACAAAGUUAAUUAUUUCGUCAAAAGGGAAGUAGAAUUUAUGGGAGAUACAAUUUUAUGCCAAAAAAGAAAAAAGAAAAAUGGUGGAGUGAAGAUUUUCUACUAUAUACUCAAGUACAAGAAUGAAUCUUGAUGGAAGGAACAUAACAUGAUAGCUUAACACAAAACUUGCAACUGAGGAUUCCAAAGUCAAAAAAUACACCUUCUUGUUGCCUUUCGGUUUAACUUCCCUUCUUUAUCGGCAGGCCUAGUUCUGUAUUUUUGCUUCAGGUGUAUGCUUGUGAUGUUACAACUACAUCCAGAGUAGACGAUAUAGAAAGUAGUUAAUGGACAUGUACUUUCACUAAUAUUGUUGUUCCAGGCACAUGGAAUAUUUUUAAUUAUGGGUGACAGUAAGACUCAGAUAUUGAAUCUUUGUCCGCUCUAAUAUCAUAUUAAAGAACUCAUCUAAAAACUUAAAUUGUUAAAGCAAGUGCACUUUUAUUUAUUUAAAGCAACAUAAUAGCCAGAAUUUUUCUAAAAGCCUCACACGACAAAUUAUUAGGAUCACAAGAAUCAAAGACUGCAGAUCGUUUAGAACAUGAAUAAGUUUAUACAAUUUAAUUAGAAUAGAAAUAGGUUUAUACAAUCUUAUUAGAAUAGGAAAAGGUUUAUACAAUCCUAUUUAGAAUAGGAAUAGAAAUAGUAAAUAGUAUCUUACUAGGUAAAUGAUUGUAUUAUAGUGUCAAUAAAUAGGGUCUCAAUGUAUAAUGUAGACACAACAACAAUUCAAUAAUAUUUUUUUCAAUAAUUCUCACAUGGUAUCAAAACCUCUACGAUCUUGGUAGAAAAUCAAAGAGUUUUUGCUGCCGGCGGGUGGCAAUUACCCAUAUAUGCUGCCCGUCUGGCCAAUAAUUAUGUUAACUGUUAUAGAAUGUAUAUAGACUUAAUCUUAGUAAUAUACAUAGCUAUAUAUAGGCAGCAGAUUUAUAGGGAUCACUGCAGAUCUGUAGGAAUCACUCUUUAUUUCUUUCCUUAGUUAGCACCUUAUGUAUUGUAUUUAUUCACUGUUCACCUACUGGAAUAAGAUAAGAUCUUCCAUUCAAUUACAUGGUAUCAGAGCCAAUAGGCUCGUGUCGUUUUGGCUGUGUUACGGAAGAAGUUUGGAUUUCUAUUCCACUGAUUUAAAGUGGUCAGUCAUCACCACCACAGAAGGAGGCGGAGUAUAUUUUCCAGCCAAACCAGUCUUCACUGGCAUCUGGUUGUGAAGCGAGUGGCUGUCACGCACAGGUCAUACAGUCUUUUGUUCAUCACGGGCCGGCACGUGAAGGUGCGUGUCUGGCUGAAUCGAUUGGGUUUUAAUUUACGGCAUCGACACGUAUUUCUGGUGAAUCUCAGGUCUGUUCUGGUGUUAAAAUAGAUCUGGAAAGUCUGUUCGGUCACUUCUCAGGUCUGUUUUGGUGUUAAAAUACGAUCUGGAAAGUUUGUUCGUCACUCCCUGGUUCGUUUCUAUUCUGCUACACUGAAUCUGGUCUGUACUUUGUGGUUCUGUGGCUGCUAGCUUCUACUUCAGAUCAGAUAAUUGGUGUUGUUUGGUCAUAAGCUGCGGUUCAGAAUUUCUUUCUCUGAACUACUUGCUUGGGUAUUUGAUUGUUCAUUACUUGCUCUUGUCUACUGGUAAAGUACUCAGAUUCUUCAUUUUGGGUGAAUAAUUGGUUUCUUAGUUGAUAAAAUCAUUUUUUAGAAUUUGUUCAACAGUGUUUGUGGGGUCACAUACAUGCUUCUGGUUAUAUUUUCUGUUGAUAAGUUCUUGUGCUGCUAAAAUAUUUGGAGAGAAUGACUGAAAUUGUGGCUCCUAUGUUUUCGGAUAAAAGAACUUUGGUUUCGGCGGAAGAGUUUGCAAAAUUCUCACAAUAUCAAAAAUUACAAAAAGAAUCUAUUUCAGCUACUACCCUUGUUGAGUCAGGAAAAGCAUGUCUUAUAUCCUCUUCGAAUAAAUGGGUGAUCGAUUCAGGUGCCACAGAUCACAUGACAGGUAAUCCUAAUAUAUAUUCUAGCUUUCGAUCACACGGAGCACUCUCUCCUGUGACGGUUGCUGAUGGUUCAAUCUGUAAUAUUAUAGGAUCUGGGACUGUAAAACCAACUUCUUCCAUUACCUUGUCAUCUGUAUUAGGUCUACCAAAGUUAGCCUUUAAUUUGAUGUCUGUUAGUAAGCUUACCAGAGACCUAAACUGUUAUAUCUCUUUCUUUCCCGAUCAUUGUUUGUUUCGUGAUCUGAAGACAAAUAAAGUUAUUGGUAAAGGACAUGUAUCCGAUAGUCUCUACAUUCUUGAUGAAUAUUGGGAGCCUCGAUUUGCUGCCUGUUCUAGUGUCGUGUCUCCAUUCGAGGCACAUUGUUGAUUAGGACAUCCUUCUUUGCCUAUGUUGAAGAAGCUUUGUCCUCAGUUUCAGAAUAUUCCUUCACUAGAUUGUGAGUCGUGUCAAUUUGCCAAACACCAUCGUAGCUCAACAAAACCAAGGGUUAAUAAGCGGGUGGAGUCAAUUUUUGAGUUAGUUCAUUCAGAUGUUUGGGGACCAUGUCCUGUUGUUUCCAAAACCGGACAUAAGUAUUUUGUCACAUUUGUGGAUGAUUUCUCUCGAAUGACUUGGAUUUAUUUUAUGAAGAGUCGUUCUGAAGUGUUUACUCACUUUUGUGCUUUUUGUGCUGAAGUCAAAACUCAGUUCAAUACUUCAAUGCGUAUUCUAAGGAGUGAUAAUGCUAAAGAAUAUAUGUCAGAAUUGUUUCAGUCCUACAUGAGACAACAUGGUAUUCUCCAUCAAACUUCAUGUGUUGAUACACCCUCUCAAAAUGGAGUUGCUGAGAGAAAGAAUAGGCACCUACUUGAGACAGCUCGAGCACUUUUGUUCCAAAUGAAGGUUCCUAAACAAUUUUGGGCUGAUGCAGUCUCUACAGCUUGUUUUUUGAUUAAUCGCAUGCCAUCGACUGUUCUUGUUGGUAAUGUGCCUUACAAUGUUCUUUUUCCAAACAAGUCACUAUUUCCGGUGGAGCCUAAGGUAUUUGGAAGCACGUGUUAUGUUCGAGAUGUUCGGCCAUCUGUUACCAAGUUGGACCCUAAGGCAUUGAAGUGUGUUUUCUUGGGUUAUUCACGCCUUCAGAAGGGGUAUCGAUGUUAUUCUGCAGAGCUUGGUAAAUACUUGGUGUCAAAUGAUGUGGUAUUUUCAGAGACUACACCAUUCUUCUAUGCACCUCCUAUUUCUACAACUCAAGAGGAGGAAGAUGAGUGGUUAGUCUAUCAGGUUACUCGUGUUGUGAAAGAACAAUCAAAUAAUGUUCUUCAAUCUCCUAGCUCCCCUAUUGAGCACCAAUUGACUAUUGGACCUAUAACUUCUGCUCCAGCAAGACCACCAAUUGUUCAAGUUUAUUCGAGGAGACGAGAGAUCGAUGAUACAUGUUCUGCACCGGUUCCUCUGUUAUCAAAUCUUUCUUCACCCGAUACUUCAGAGAAUUUGGAUCUCCCUAUUGCUCUUCGCAAAGGUAAAAGGACUUGUCAAUCCACAUAUCCCAUUGUUAAUUUUGUUUCCUAUGACCGUUUAUCCUCUAUGUCGAGGUCCUUGGUUGCUUCUUUAGACUCCAUCUCUAUACCCAAAACAGUGAAGGAAGCUUUGAACCAUCCUGGAUGGUAUGAUGCGAUGCUUGAGGAAAUACAUGCCUUAGAGGAAAAUCACACGUGGGAUUUGGUGGAUUUACCUAGCACGAAGAAACCAGUGGGAUGUAAGUGGGUGUUCACAGUUAAAGUUAAUCCAGAUGGUUCUGUGGCAAGACUUAAGGCUAGGCUUGUGGCUAAAGGGUAUGCUCAAACUUAUGGAGUGGAUUAUUCAGACACUUUCUCUCCGGUUGCGAAACUUACUUCUGUCCGCUUGUUCAUUUCUCUAGCUGCUUCUGCGAAUUGGCCUUUACAUCAGUUGGAUAUCAAAAAUGCAUUCCUUCAUGGUGAUCUUCAAGAGGAAGUAUAUAUGGAGCAACCACCUGGUUUUGUUGCUCAGGGGGAGUAUGGGCGAGUCUGUUAUUUGAAGAAGUCCUUGUAUGGCUUGAAACAGAGUCCCCGAGCUUGGUUUGGGAAGUUUAGUGAGGUAGUCCUGGAGUUUGGGAUGAAAAUGAGCAAAUGUGAUCACUCAGUCUUCUACCGACAAUCAACAGUUGGCACUAUCCUGCUGGUUGUGUAUGUUGAUGACAUUGUCAUCACAGGAAGUGAUUAUGCAGGGAUCUCUUCCCUCAAAUCCUUCCUGCAUACUAGGUUUCAUACGAAAGACUUGGGUCAGUUGAAGUACUUUUUGGGUAUAGAGGUAAAUAGAAACAAGAAGGGAAUUCUUUUGUCUCAGAGAAAGUAUAUUCUUGAUCUUCUUGCAGACACUGGAAAGUUGGCAGCUAAACCUUGCAGUACUCCAAUGGUUCCCAAUGUGCAGCUUAUGAAAGAUGACGGCGACCCCUUUGAUGAUCCUGAGAGAUACAGGAGGUUAGUUGGAAAGUUAAACUACCUUGUUGUGACUCGUCCAGACAUUGCUUUUGCAGUAAGUGUUGUUAGCCAGUUCAUGUCCUCACCUACAGUCAAACACUGGGCAGCUUUGGAACAGAUUUUAUGUUACUUGAAAGGAGCCCCGGGUCUUGGGAUAUUAUAUAGCAAUCACGGUCAUACUCGUGUUGAGUGUUUUGCAGAUGCUGACUAUGCUGGAUCCAAAAUUGAUAGGAGAUCGACUACAGGCUAUUGUGUCUUUGUUGGAGGAAACCUAGUGUCAUGGAGGAGUAAGAAGCAAAGUGUUGUAUCUCGAUCCAGUGCAGAAUCUGAGUAUAGAGCUAUGUCACAGUCUACAUGUGAGAUUAUGUGGAUAUAUCAUCUUCUAACUGAAAUUGGGUUGGAAUAUCAUACACCAGCAAAACUUUGGUGUGAUAAUCAAGCUGCCUUGCAUAUUGCCUCAAAUCCGGUGUAUCAUGAAAGAACUAAACACAUUGAGGUUGACUGUCAUUUUAUUCGUGAGAAGAUUCAGGAAAACUUGAUUUCCACGGGCUACGUGAAGACAGGAGAGCAAGUAGCUGAUUUGCUCACAAAGGCGUUGAAUGGAACUCGAGUUGAUUAUCUUUGUAACAAGCUGGGCAUGAUCAACAUAUAUGCUCCAGCUUGAGGGGGAGUGUUAUAGAAUGUAUAUAGACUUAAUCUUAGUAAUAUACAUAGCUAUAUAUAGGCAGCAGAUUUAUAGGGAUCACUGCAGAUCUGUAGGAAUCACUCUUUAUUUCUUUCCUUAGUUAGCACCUUAUGUAUUGUAUUUAUUCACUGUUCACCUACUGGAAUAAGAUAAGAUCUUCCAUUCAAUUACAUUAACAAAAGUGACAACAAUGAUAUAUGCAUGAACCCCAUAUUCAGAGAAAGAAAACUCAGUCUGACAAGUCAUUGUGCGUCAAUUUCCGAUGAGUGUUUUGUGUCAACCCCAUAUCCGUUGGUAUUUGCGUAGCACCGUGCUAUCUUUUCGAUGACUACUUUUUCAUAUUCAAUUGUUUUAGCACCGUGCCAUCAUUCCGGUGACUACUUUCUAUAUCUAUUUUGUGUGGCGCCGUGUCAUCUUUCCGGUGACUACUUUUUCAUAUUUAAUUUGUGUAGCACCGUGCCAUUCUUCCGGUGACUGCCUUUUUUUGCAUAUUUGAUUUGUGUAGCACUGUGCAUCUCUCCAGACUAUUUUUCAUAUUCAAUUUACGUAGAAUCGUGGAUUUUUCCGUUCUACUUUGUCAUAUCUAAGUUGCAUAGCACCGUGUCUUUUCGGUGACUCCUCAUAUUUGAUCUGCGUAGUUCCAUUCGUCUUUCGGUGACUUCUCAAAUCUGAUUUGCGUAGGGUUGUGCCAUCAUUUCGACCCUACUUAUACUAUUUCUCUUCUUCAAUAGGGUCAUGCUGUCAAUCCGACCUUGUAUUUUCUAGUUGGGUCGUGCUACCAUUCCGACCCUUCCCAUAUAAUAUUAUUUGUUAGAUUGUGACCACUUUUAGCCAUCAAAUCUAAUACUCCGGCAUAUGAGCAUGUUCCGACCAAUUUUUCAGUGACUUUCUUGUUUAAUAUCGACUCAUCUAUUGAUUCCAGCAUGAUCCAUAUACUUUAUACUAGACUUUGAGCACUUUGUAGCUCAAGGGGAGUUUAGUAGCCUUGUAUGUCGAUUAUGUAAGUCACUCUAUGGUCUGAAACAGUCUUUGCAAGUUUGGUUUGGGAAGUACAACACUGUAAUUUUAUCACGCUGUGUUUUAUCGACAUUAUGCAUCAAAUUCAGUAUUUCAUUAGAAGAUUAAGCACAUUGAGAUUGACUGCCAAUAUGCAUUAAAUCCAACAUUUAAUGAGAAGACAAGCAUAUUGAGAUUGAAUGUCAAUUUUGUGAAGUUGACUAAUCAACUUGCAAUAGUCUCACUAAGCCCCUCAUCGAUCCCCGUAUUAAUUACAUUUGUAACAAGCUAGGUAUAUGAAUUGUACGCACUAGCUUAAGGGGGAGUGUUAGAAUAUAAAUAGGCUGAUACAAUCCUAUUAUAAUAGGAAUAAGUUUAUACAAUCCUAUUAGAAUAGGAAUAGGUUUAUACAAUCCAAUUUAGAAUAGGAAUACAAAUAGAAAUAGGAAUAGUAAAUAGUAUCCUACUUGGUAAAAAAUUGUACUCUAGUGUCUAUAAAUAGGGUCUCAAUGAAAUAAUGUAGACACAAAAACAAUUCAAUAAUAUUCUUUUUCAAUAUUUCUCUCAAUUGAGACAACAUUCCUCCAUGUGAUAUCAAAUUCACUUUGUCCCAUUUCAUCGCAUUUAGUCAUCAUUUAAGUGCUACAACUCAAUGCAAUAAAGUCAAGCUAAAACCAACUUAUCAUCAAAAAAUACAUGUUACGGUUAUAACCUUAUCAUCAUAAGAAAUCUACCAUUGUCUUUUCAUCACUACUUAUAUCUACAAAUUAAUUUAUUUUUUUUAUAACCGAGAAAUCCGUCUGUGACCCGCCCUUUGGACCAAUCACAGCCUUCUAAACUCGGUGGAUAAUGGGCCCGCCCCUCUACCCUUCUCCACUUAAAUACCGGGCUUCGCUUUGCAUGGUGUGGGGCUUGAACCUAUGACCUAAUCCACAAAUCCUCCACCUUUUGCCACUUGAGCUAGGCCUUGGGGGCAUCUACAAAUUAAUUACUUCUUGAAGUGACAAAAGAUGUUCUCUUUAGCUUAAUAUAUUUUCUAUCCAUUUUAUUCCAGUAUUUUAGCUGUAUUAUUUUAAUAUGUACAUUCAUAGUGCAAUAUUAUCCAAAGUAUGUACAAGUAAUUGACAUGAGAAGUUUUAGUAUGAUUGCAACUAUCACGAUGAGUCAUGGUAACCAUGCUUGUUCAACUUGAUAAAAGAAAAUAGUAAUCAGAUAAUCCCCACAGCAAAAAAAAAUUGUGCUAACAUAGAGACUUGAAAUUAGUGCUAGAAAGGAAUCAUAAAAAGUAUUUCAAAUUUAAAAGAAUAUGAGGACAAAUCAAAGCACCGGUACCUGCUACUCUAUUUUAGUAACCUUACCAUUAUGUCAACAAGGACUACAAUUGUCACGCCCCAAGCUACCCCCAAGACGCGGACACGGGACCUAGGACCACAAGUGAUCCCAAGCUAACCCUGUUGGCAUGAUCAUGAGCAUACUAAAUAUAAUCUGAAUAAUAGAAACUGCGCAGAAGCUAAAUCACAAAUAAAUCUGAAAGAUGGGGAAUACCCAUAUACUAUAUCUGAGAUAUAUGAAAACUGAUGAGUUUAAUACAAAGAAGAUAUUAACUCAACACUAAGCUGAAUCUAACUAUGUCUGAAAUAAGCCUCUAAACUGACUAGAAAUGUUGGGACAUACCCCAACUAGAUCUAGCAAAACUGAAACUAAAGACUAAAAGCGAUAAAGAUAAACAUGUCACUAGUCCUCGAAGAAUGAGGACUCACCACUGAUGCUGCUGAACUGAAGAUCGGGAAUCGAUCUAAGCGUGAUCUGGAUGCUGAGAACCUGAACCUACAUCACGAGAAGAUGUAGCGCACGUAUGCCUCAGUAAAGGUACUGAGCAUGCAGGAUACAGUAAAGCUGAAAUAACAUAUAACUGAACAAAGCAAUAAAGCAAUGAAAUAAUCUGAACAUGAUAUAGAUACUGAAUACUGAGCUAACUGAAUGCAAUGACCAAUUUAUAACAUGCUGACUGAAUACUGAAUGAACUGUAAAUGUGGUCAAUGCAAUAGAGUCUGACUGAACUGUGGGAGCUACUAAUAANNNNNNNNNNNNNNNNNNNNNNNNNNNNNNNNNNNNNNNNNNNNNNNNNNNNNNNNNNNNNNNNNNNNNNNNNNNNNNNNNNNNNNNNNNNNNNNNNNNNNNNNNNNNNNNNNNNNNNNNNNNNNNNNNNNNNNNNNNNNNNNNNNNNNNNNNNNNNNNNNNNNNNNNNNNNNNNNNNNNNNNNNNNNNNNNNNNNNNNNNNNNNNNNNNNNNNNNNNNNNNNNNNNNNNNNNNNNNNNNNNNNNNNNNNNNNNNNNNNNNNNNNNNNNNNNNNNNNNNNNNNNNNNNNNNNNNNNNNNNNNNNNNNNNNNNNNNNNNNNNNNNNNNNNNNNNNNNNNNNNNNNNNNNNNNNNNNNNNNNNNNNNNNNNNNNNNNNNNNNNNNNNNNNNNNNNNNNNNNNNNNNNNNNNNNNNNNNNNNNNNNNNNNNNNNNNNNNNNNNNNNNNNNNNNNNNNNNNNNNNNNNNNNNNNNNNNNNNNNNNNNNNNNNNNNNNNNNNNNNNNNNNNNNNNNNNNNNNNNNNNNNNNNNNNNNNNNNNNNNNNNNNNNNNNNNNNNNNNNNNNNNNNNNNNNNNNNNNNNNNNNNNNNNNNNNNNNNNNNNNNNNNNNNNNNNNNNNNNNNNNNNNNNNNNNNNNNNNNNNNNNNNNNNNNNNNNNNNNNNNNNNNNNNNNNNNNNNNNNNNNNNNNNNNNNNNNNNNNNNNNNNNNNNNNNNNNNNNNNNNNNNNNNNNNNNNNNNNNNNNNNNNNNNNNNNNNNNNNNNNNNNNNNNNNNNNNNNNNNNNNNNNNNNNNNNNNNNNNNNNNNNNCGGAGAAAUCUUUCGAUUUCGGGGUUGGAACUGAUGGAACCUUGCUGCGUUCUUGAACUAGGGUUCUUGACCUUUUUCUCCUCUCUUGCUUCUAAUUUUCUAAGUUUUGAUUAAUGAUUUGACUUAGGUAAGUUCUAGUUAUGUUUCUAGGUUUAAACUGAUUAAAACCUCAUGAUUUAGGGUCAAAACGACGUAUCUUAGGGGUUAAACGAAAUAGGAAAAGACCAAAAGACCCCUGAAUUAACUGCUGUCGGAGUGAUCGACGGUUUGGACUGACGGGCCGUCAAUCCAUCGACGGACCGUCGAUUGGGUCCGUAGGUCGAGUCUGCCCGACCGGGCUUCACUAAAACGAGCAUAACUUUUUACUCGGAGGUCGGAAUUUGGAAAACUCGGUGGCGUUGGUAAGAUAAUUCAAUUAUCUACCAUACCAUAGGUAAUGGGACACACAAUUCCUUUUGUGCUAAAAUUUAUGACCAUCUGAAGUUGACCAAUCAAUAAUUUUCAGCUAACUAGCUGUUGACCCUCAUCUACGGUCAGACCUACGGACCGUGGGAUCGAAUGACGGUCCGUGCUGGUCGACCGUAGUUUGUGUCAGAGGCUGGGUAAGGGAAGUCUCGAUCCACGGACACAGACCACGGACCGUGGUCUGAUCUACGGACCGUGGGUCUGUCCAUGAGUCGGGACUUAGCCAAUUUUUUCUGAGCUAGUUUGGGAGGGGUUGCAGUGGUGAACCACGGACCACCAGUACGGGCCGUGGUCUGACCUACGGUCCGUGGAUGGUGACCGUAAGUUGCACCUGCAACUUCUCAAAAAUCUAUAUUUUUUGGUCUGUUUCGAAUACGGGGUGUUACAACAAUCAUAAGGAAAAAUCCAACAAUUUAUCCGUAACUCCUCCAUGUUUUUGUUUGUUCCACUUCAUUGCUCUUUUCUUUUUUGUCAAGUAACUGAAUCUAUGUUUCCUUCCUUUGCAUCUGUUACAAAUAACACAUCUACUUCUGUCCCAUUUCCUCUUAAUCUCUUGGGUACCUUAUCCCUCCAUCCUCAUAAUCUCUUGGGUAACUUAUCAAUCCAUCAAAAAAAAAAAUGUAAUUAAGAGGUUAUAUUUAUAUCCUUCGAGUAUAAACAUAUUGAUACUUGAAACUGCACAACUGAGUCCAUCUGGAAGAUCAGCACCUAAAAUCCUAAAUGAGCAAAAUGAAUAGUUUCAUUUGUACUAACUGCCAGAAAACUAAAUAAAAAAUCUUCUAGUUAAGAUAACAGCUGCAUUAUUAAUCAUCCAGUUUGUGAGGUAUUUCCAUUCAUUCCAAUAAACUGAAACAGAAAAUGUGGAAAGCACCCGAAGUAGUAAACAACUAAUAGACUCAUCACACGGAGGUAGAGACACAAUUUGAUCUGAUCUGUUGAAAACACAAUUCAACAAUCAGUUUAUUUAUUUCUACGGAUACAAUACCCUUCUUAAUUUUAAGAAACUUCUUCUUCCAAACAUCUCUUUGGCUUUUAUCUAAGAAUUGACAUGCCACCGCUGUUCUGUUUUUGGUAUAUACGAGAAAAUACAAAUAUACAAGUGUUUCCUCAUCGACAAUCUUCUUUGCAGUCUACAACUAAAAUUGAGAAUUUUAAAAGCAAGCUAGGUAAUAGUUUAUGUUAAAUCUCUUUUGUGUUUUGGUACAUCCUUACAUAUUUCAUAACUACUUGAGGUACCUUUUUUAAUUACUGCUGACAUUAAUUGCUCGAGGUCUCCAGCCAACAACUAUAUUCUCGAAGAGCUCCCUGUGGAGCAAAAAUAGGAUAUCCGAGAGGUCAGCCACGGCUCUCGACAACCUAAGCCACAUCUCUGCUUAAAUUUGUUUCGGUUAAUGAAUCUACUUCUAGAAAACUCUACAAAAUUGAAAUCAAACAAAUAUCAUAUAUUUGAAAGACAUGUGUUGCUAUAUCUACCGGCAUCAACAGACUUAUGCAGACAUAGGCAUAUUUCAAUUAAGUAAAUUUUUUAUAACCUGAGAAAUCCCGAGGUUCCAAACUCAGUGGAUCUUGAGCACAGUUUCUUCAACCCACCUCCCCUCCAUCCCCCAACCCCAGCCCACCCAAAAAAAGGGCAGUGAAUUUGAAAGCAAUUCUGAACCUUCUUAAUUUAUUUGAAAGCACCUUAAAUAAAAUCUUGUAAAUGCUUUCUACCGGACUAAUAGGUUGAUUGAGUUUGAUUCCACAAGGACCAAACCGACUCUUUCAGCUGACUUAGAGAUGAAUGUCAAAUUAUCAACGAGGAUUUUCGUCUGAUCGUAGCAGGGUUGUUAGAAACUUGCAACCAACAACAGUAGAAAUUUUCAUAAUAGCCUACAACUUUUGCUUUCACGUUAAACAUAAACAGUAUGAGUUUAACAAUAAAAAUGCAGCUAUAAAAACAUAAUCAUGUCUGAUAAUUUGAAGAGUUUGUUUGGAACUUGAACAACUAUAUUGAUGUUUAUAUCUUAUACUGAAAUUAAUUUGAAUAAACCUACUUGAUGCGGUAAAAACAAACAAACAUAAAGACAAAGGCCGAAAACUUGACGCAGUUACAUCUAUCUUGACGAAAGCAUCAAUAAUUACAACAUAAUAAAGGUAAUAAAUAAAUCUGUCUUUCAAGGUGCAUAACCUUUAUAGCAAUAGUAAUGAGGCAUCCCCAAACAUCAUGUAGUAAUGUAUACCAAGAACGUUCUCUUGGGAUUACAAUAUAUAGAAACAGAUAUAUAAUGGAUUUGGAGAAGGGAAAUUAAACAGCAUAAACCAUAUAUCACAAAGAAAGGGAAACCAAGAAAAAAGAGAGCAACAUUCCCAGAUUCAGUUUUCUGGAUUCAAGAAUGCAAGAAAGUGAAGAAAUUGAAAAGUGUGUUCUCAAGAAUAAUAUAUAAGAAGAUUGGACCGACCACAUAAACUAUCAAGUAACCAGAACCAACAUGUAAGUAAUCAAAAGAAAAUUUACAAAAACUCAUAAACACGGGACACAAUGCAUCAAAAGCCCUAAAGAAUGAAGUUUUACUCACUUGUAGCGGUGAAUAUCGACGACAGACAAAACAUAGAAGAAGAAGAAGAAGAAGAGCCCUUUUAUUCCAAAAGCCAUGAAAACAGUGGUUGGUUUGCUCCUCAUCUUCCUCAAUUACUCCUUCCUUCAGUUUAGGUAUAUUGGUUCUUCACAAUUUUCAUCCAUUUUCUCAUUUUUUUUCUGAAAUUCAAGGAUAAAUCAGAAAAGUUUUUUUUUUUCAGAAUGUGCAUUUUUUGGCUGCAAAAUUCUAAGGUCCUAAUUCUAAAAUAGUAAUCAUUUAAUAAAUUUAAAAUAAUAAUAAUUUUUUUUCAUUUGGUAAAAUUUUUAAAAUCAUCUUAUUGAUGAGAAAAAAAGUUUAUUGUGUUUCACCAAUAGAUUUAAAAUGCAUUUUAAAGUAAUAAUUAGUGUUUGACCAAAUUUUUUGAAGUGUUUUAAGUGUAUUUUUUUAGAACUAUUUUUCAAAAAGUAUUUCAGAAAAAAGCUAAUUAUUUUAGCUUUUGAAAAACAAUUUUUACUACUUUUCUCCCAAAAAGUUUGAUUGAACACCUCACUUUCAAAAAAUAAAUAUAUUUUACCUCCCAAAAACUUGACCAAAUAGACUAUUAAUAUUUAAUAUUAACCAUUUAGAUUCUAAUUAUUAAGUGUAUUUAUUUUUAUAAUUUUGCAAUUACUUAACGAGAUUGAAUAAAUUUGAAUAAGCAUGGUAUUUUUCAAAGUUUUCUUAUAUUUCAUCACUAUUUCUCUAUUUUCACCGAUGCAGUUGUUGCCGUAAUUCACUAUUAUCAACUAUAAUCACCCAGUAUAUACAAAUCACCAUCACCACCGUAUUAAGUUCUCACUACCAUUAGCCACCAUUAACAAUCAUCAAUCAUAACCACCAUUACAAUUUACAACCACCAAUUAAAAACAACAAUCACCACAAUAACUAUUCAAUAUAUAUUGCAAACCAUUGUUAUUAGUUAUCACGAUCAACAACAACAAUUAAUUAGUAUUGUCAGCCACAUUACUACUAGACCACUCAAUAUCGCCACCGUCUCCCAACAUAAUCUCAAUCGACACCUUGAACCAUCAUUGCUUACAACCAUCACUUUAAUUGUCAUAUAAUUCUUUAAUAGUAUCUCAAUAUCAUAUAAAAUAAUUUAAUAUUUUAUUUAAAUUUUAUAUUUAUUGAUUCUAAAGAAAGGAAUUUUUUUAUAUAUUCACAUGUUGAAAAAAAUUAAUCUUAAUUGUUUAGUAUUAAAAUUUUAGUACGAUAUCUUAAUAUUCAGUUGUGUAUUAAUUUAAAAUAUCUCAAUCUUGAUGAAAACAAUUAAGAUUUAAGGCGGUGAAAGGAAUACAAGUAUUAAUUGAGAUUUAAAUAAUAAAUAAGAAUAAUUUAAUCAAAUCAUCCUUCUAAAUAAUAUUUUUUUAAAAGAAAUGCAAAAGAAAAAUUUGACAACCAAAAUGAACCCAAGAGUAGCACAAGAUAUUACAAAUAUUUCUUCAUAUUGAUUAUUGAUCAACACAUAAAAACAAUUCUUCCAAAUUUUAUUUAAAAUUAAUUCCUUUUAUAAUAUCCUUAAAAAAAUCAACCCCACUUAUACUUAGAAACUAUUUAAUUUAGCAUUCAUAAAAUGCUUUCCUCAAGUCUAUUUUAGGUAAAAAAAAAAAAAAAAAAAAUUUGACCGAAUUCCUUUUAUUCUAUUCUAAAAAAAAUUGACCCCUCAUAUACUUGGAAAUUAUUUAAUUUAGCAUUCAUAAAUUGCCCUCUAGUCCAUUUUAGGUAAUUUUUAAAAGCUUUGACCAAAUUCUCAUUAAAAAAAGUCAAUUAUUAACAUUAAUAAAAUGAGUUAUUUUAUCAAACAUUUGUUCAAUAUUUUAUUAGACAAGGAUAAUUUUGGAAAAAAAGUUUUUAAAUAAAUCUAUAGAAUUUUAAAUUCCACAACCAUAUUUAGACAACUUUUUAAUGUUACAUUACUACCAUGCAAAUCUGAAUUAGUGAAGCAAAUACAUUUUUGGACAAUGAAUAAUUAAAAAGAAUCACAUCAACAACAAUAUAAAGAUAUUCAGAAGCAAGACUUCUAAUUUUAUAAUUGGACACUAGACCAUUAAAACUAUUACCUUAUUUGUUAAAAUCAACUAAUUGAAGAUUGAAAGGUACUAUUUGGUCAACCAUUGCCAAAGCUAAAAUGGAAAUUUAUAGUCAAAGCAAUUACCAUUCUUGAAACAAAGCAAGUACAUAAUAAUUUGUCCUAAUGAGAUCACUCAACAAAAUCACAGAUGCUUAAUUUUGGUGAACAAGUUACUCGAUAUUUGUGCCGACGGCAAGGAUGCCUUGCUUGUCUUGUUUUAGUGACCAAUACUCAAUGUACCUGAUGUUUCAUUUAGGAAUAAAUAUGUCAUUAUGCAUUGAUCAUUAACUAUUCAAUAUAUAGACUGCUCACUAAAGAUAGACUACAGAAUAUGCAUAUACAAGAGAGUGCUGAAACGCACCAACAUUUGUUUACUGAAUGUCAUUGGGGGAAUACAGUGAGGAAGGAUUUGACUAACUGGAUGGGUGUGGAACUGCUAAGAGGCGCAAUUCAACAAAUAUUGGCGUGGAUUAAAAGAAGAUGUUGGAAACAAUUGAAGAAGGAAGCAGGUAGCUGCUAUGUAUGGAGCAACAAUUUAUUAUACCUGGCAAGCGAGGAAUUGGAGGCAGUUUAGACAGGAACAUGUAAAUACAAAUUUCAUCAUCGCACAAAUAAAAAAGGAGUGACAAGUUAGAUUAGAAAGAGUUAAGGAGUCUAGAAAGGCAAGAAAUUGUCAAGAUUUAAUACAUAGGAUUUGUGGUAGACAGUAAGUAGCUAGAUGCUAUAGUGUUUUUUUCUUCCUAAAUUGUACUACUUUGUUUUGUUAUGGUAAUACUCACAGUUUAUUGCUUUUAAAAAAAAAAAACUAUUCAAUAUAUAUUGCAAACCAUUGUUAUUAGUUAAUGACCCUCUAUCAUGAUUAAUCUAUUUCCAUAAAUAGAUGACCAGCUGAAGUCUACUGAAUUCUUAUCUGUCUAUAUAUUUUAUCCGUCACCUCAGUCAGACAUUUUAGAUUUUGAAAGCAAAUCCAACUCUAACGUUAGCGGCAGUACAUUCAACCUGAUUUGAACUGGAAUCAUUCAGAAUCAGAUUUUAUGGGUAAACAAGGGCCAUGUUGCCAUUGUGGCAUCGAGCGUAAGUUCUAUUAACCACCUAUAUCCCACCUUUUAUGUUUAUCAAUAAUCUUGUGCUUUACAUGAUAAUUGAUUCAGUGAUGCUUAGAAUUUAUGUGCCUGAUGUUAAGCAAAUAAACUUUGAAGACUCACAUAACUGAAACACUAAAUAACCAAAUUUCCCUAAAUUGCCAAUCUGUUAAACAUAAAACAUAGCGUACUUGAAUUUUCUCACCUCUCGAGCCAAAUAUUAAUUGCUUUUCAAAACAGCUGCCAUUAGUCUAACAGGAACUGAGGACAUCUUGGAUAAAUUGUAGAUUUGGUCCCCAAUCCCUGGCAUAGAUGCACAUUUUAGACCCUGCUGUCUUCCUCUUCAUAUUUGGCACCAAUGACCCUGCUCCACAACAAUUGUUUGUCAUUGGCAUAUCUCCAUAACCACUCCAUUCUUAGAGCUUUGCUUUGAAAUUUCAGAUUCUUUGUCAUUGGUACCCUUUCUUUUCUUUGUUUCCCUGCCACAAAAUCUCUCUCCUAGUGUUGUCCAACCUUUUGAUAACCCUGGUAGGAUGGGAAAUAAAGGCAUCAUAAAAGUUGGGAAAGCAUCAAGGACUAAAUUAAUGAGAGUGAGUCUUCUUCGUAAGGAGAGGUAUUGAGUUUUCCACCUGGCUAGCUUUUUUUCACACUUCUCUAUCACUCUAUCCCAUAUUUCUAUAGAUUCAGAUUUAGAUUUAGCCCCAGAGGUAGUCCCAAGUGAAUUGUUGGCAGACUGCCAACUUCUCCAUCAUGUAUAGCAGCUAGCAGUUCAUGUUGGUGACUUCAUUUAUAGGAUACAUUAGGUUCUUCCUCUAAAAUCUUUGUUGCUUGGACUCUCUGAAAUUGUUGCCGCACUCGUUGACAUUUUUGAAAAAUCUGAGCAACAUAGACUAAAAUACCUACUCCAUUCCUACUCCUCAAACUUCCUGAGUACCUUAUCUUGUACACGACUAUAUCCCUAGUCUUAGUUCCUACCCAUUAGGUGUCCUAAACCCAAGGUAUAAAGAUCUUCCUUCUCUUAAGAAUAAUCACCAACUCUAUUGACUUCCUCGCCAAUGUUCCUAUGUUCCAAGACAGAACUCUCAACCUAGGAGUUCCCUUGGUACCCUUACCACCCCUGCCCUCACCCCAAAUCAUUGACAUGACUUUUAACUACCAUCAGAUCUUUUGAAGCCACUAACGCCAGUACAGAAUAAUCAAGUGGGGCAACCCAUAACGUCAAAUCCCUAAAUGCAAAAGUGGCAGUCACACAAUACAAUGAAGAAACUAAAAAGAAGCAAUAAACUAUAGCAAAGAUACCAGUUUAAAGUAGGAACCAAGAAAAUGUAGUAAUAUUCACAAGGGCACAAUAAUAAAUUCAUAAACACAAUAUCAGAUUUAAGGAAAUUAGUUAACAAUCAAGCAACAAUAAGGGUCUGAACAAUCUGUCGGAAAAAUCAGGUCUAGAUAAGACAGGAAAAUAUAUAAAAGGGGUGGUGGGAUCAUACCUAGGAGAUGACGGGGAUAAAAAAAACUAUGGACUGAUUUUCUGAAAUCCAGCGAGCUCCGAUAUAUUCCUUUAGUCUGUCGGUCGUCGGUCAUCAGGAUGGGGUAGCUGGAUUCUUGCUGACCGGUGGUGGUAGUGCAACAAAAAAAAACAGAGAAAGGGAGAAAGAAAGACGGCAGGGAGAUUUCGUACCUGGUCGCCGGUGGUGGUGGGAGGUCAGGCCAGAGGCUUGCAGUG
rnacentral:lncRNA from 1 species